AACAAGCCUCUCCUCCGGGUGAUGCCUUCUUUCGGGUGGCCUUUCUGCGAUCGUCCAUGCGUGCGUGUCCAUGAAUAAAUCUCAGCUUGUCUCGGCGAGCUGGGUGCGAGUCCUUCUUUGUUUUUUGUAUGAUUAUUACCGAACCUGUGUGCACGCGUUGUUGUUUCUUGUUGGGUUCGUCCUCAGAGUUGCUGUGAGGUUUAUGGGAUUAUCCCAGUCAAUCCUUCUCUCAUGUAAAAUUUUUAUUUUCGGCAAAUCAUGAGUGUUGUAUGCGUGUUCCCUCAGUAACUCACUCGUUGUGUAUACAAUUGGACAUGCAUGUCACAUGGUGCCUGUAGUUGUGAUGUGCACGCUGUACCUCCGUGUGAUCGAGAUCGAUCGAUAUGAUCGAUGCGCCAUGUGUGCAGUGGCAGCUGACACCCGGCGCUACGCAUGCGCAAGGACCGCUGCGAGACCUGAGCAUUUCUUGGGCCGGGCUUUAAAAGGCCGAACCCCACAAAUCUAAGCCUGAGCCAUGCCCGGUCCUGAAUAAGCGAACACUAUUCUAUUUUUUUCUAUCCCCUUUUCGGGUAAUGAAUAGUACUUAUCUUCCUAUUGAAAUUAAUAUAUAUUAACACAUGAGUAUGAUUUUUAAUGAAACCUUAUUUUUAGUUUCUUAGAACCACAAUGUAGGCUCAGAAGCUCACAAUCACUAUAUAUGUGGCAAUUUCCCAAUAGAAAAAACCCAUGUGUGCCAACAUUUUUUAAGAAAGAUAUUGAUUUCCAUUUCAUUAACGAAACCCCCGCAUGUCCUUACAAGAUACAAACUACUAAAAGAGCCAUGGAGGCCUUUAUUUUGAAAAUUUAAAUAUCCUAUUUUUUCAGUUUCAGAAAAUUCUGAAAAACAUACACAUGUAUGCAAGGAUGUAAUGUGUAUGUGUGUAAAAUUUCAGUAUGAAAUUUCUUGAUUUACGAGCUGCAAUUUUUUUUAUGGACUAUGAGGAUGAACAAUACAUAUGCUAAAAAGCCCUAGAUUUGUCUUUUUUUUUCUGUAGUUCUCAUUUUAACCUAUUUUGACCGGAAAAUUUGCACACAUGUACAUUGUGUAUAUAGGUAUACGUGAAUUUGUUUUCAUAAUUUUUUGAAACUGAAAUACGGUUAAGUGUACGUACGAAUCUACAAAAUACGUACAAGGUAUUUGUAAAUGAUAAAAGUACUACAACAACAACUCAAAACAGGUGUUCGACGGUGGACCUCUUUCAUUUCGCAGGAACAUGGGAAUUAUUAAUGUACAGUAAUAUAUUUACAAUCAUGAUUGAGCAACUCAGCAACAAACAAAGGGGCCUCAAGCAGCCAAACAUUAGCCUCUACACCCGCUCCUAGCACUAGCAGCUCAUGCAAGUUGGUGAGCUGCUCUGUGUCUUCCUCUGUUUCACAAACCUGAACCGAAAUUCAGAAAGUUCAGCCGCAGUAUCUCUAACAUCAGCAAGCAGGUGUGCAUGGCGCGACCAUAAGUUGAGAGCCUGACUCCACUUGAGGCCAAACUGUUCCCGGGCAUUGCUGGGAUCUGCACAUGUUCCCGGGCAAACUGCUAUGCAAACAUGCAGGCCAAACUUCACCGGGUGGGCACGCUAGAAAAAUCGUGCUCGUGUCCACCGGCCGUAUCGAUGCGUUCGGGAGGGAGGAAGCGGCCAUCCGUCCAGUCAUCGGCGUCGCAGACCACGCGGAUUUGUUGUAGCAAUCCAUCCACCUUGCUUGGACACAAAGUUCUGUUAGCGAGCUUCCAGCGCCGUGUCCUGGAGCAACGGACGGUGGCAAUUGAAGCACGCGCAUACGUGGGAGGGAUACUACCCUACCCUACCCUACCCUACUUGCGGGUUGCGGCCUUUUCCUCUUUGAGAAGACGUGCACUCCGACUGCUGCAUCGAUCGUUGGUUGUGACUCGUGUGACCCCAUUGGCAUCGGUUCUAUAUAAGCUGGGGGUGCUCGCACAGCAGCUCCGUCACUCAUCCCACCCUGAUACCCUCGUAACAAACAAGCAGUCAUCGAUGGAGGCUCCACGCAAGCUCGUCUCCGCCGCGCUCCUCCUCGUGCUGCUGCUCGCGGCCACAGGAGAGAUGGGAGGCCCGGUGGCGGUGGCGGAAGCUCGGAAGUGCGAGUCGCUGAGCCACAGGUUCGCGGGCCUCUGCCUGCGCGGCCACAACUGCGCCAACGUCUGCCGGACCGAGGGCUUCCCCGGCGGCAAGUGCCGCGGCGCCAGCCGCCGCUGCUUCUGCACCACCCACUGCCGCUAGUAGCCUAGCUGCAUGCAUGCAUGCUGGCACCUUUGUGCGUGUACCGUGUCCGUGUCCAUGAAUAAACCUCAGCUUGUCUACUAUCUUGGCAUGCAGGCCGAGCUGGGUAUAAGAAGCAACUUCUCCUUGUGUCCGUUCGAUGUUUGGGUUCGUCCUCAAAGUUGCAGCGAGGUCCCAUGUUUCCUUUCACGUGUGUUGUGUGCGUGUAAGCGUGUUCUCCCUCUCACUUGCUCUGUACACGAAACGACGUGCAUGUCGCAUGCUACUUCCGUGUGAUCGAAAGCAUGUUUUUUUGUUUGUUUGAGAAAAGUGUGAUCGAGGCAUGUGUGCAGCAAGGAACUUGACAGCUGCCACCCGGCGCUGCUCAAUGCUCAUGCACGAUGGACUGGCCACGCGUAAAAGGUCCCGGCCUCUAGGAGUGGGAAGUUAUGGUCACGGGCACCAUGGUCCCCUUUAUUAAAAAAAAACAUAUUAAGAAGUAAAAAAAUUAUCUGUGGAAACAUGUAUGUGUGCACUACGGAUCCAUGAAAUUUUGUUUUGAAAAAAUGUAAUGUGUAAGCUGUAAAACAUAAUCUGGCCAUAUACUGAUUGACUUUGUUCCAUCGUUGAAAACCUCGUAUAUAUUCUGUAUAUUCGAUCUAAACCAUUAUGAUCGUGCGUUAAGCAAGACUUGACUUGUUGCCAUGGAGGAGAAAAGAAUUGCUUGGAGGAGUGAUUUUGCAUCUCCCUAGCUACAAACUGCAUGGGUAGUGACCCAGAUGAAGCCAAGUUGCAAGUCCGUGCAGUUAUUAUGGCCUAAUUAGUAAAGUCAAACACGAGUGUCCUAUGAGCAGAGUUCUGUAUACUGUCUGAAUAUCGCUAGGCUGUUUCUGCAAGUUACAAAGGGCAUUUUGGUUUGAGAGUUAUGCAUCGGCCCCAUGUGUGUUUCAUACUACCGUUGAUGAGGAAUCCCCACAUCAUCACACCGAGAUCAUGGUAGGGUCUUGAGCAACAUGAUGAAGGACUCAUGCCUCGGCAGAGUAAUCAAUUCGUUGAUGCGAAUUAGGUGGCUCAUGGGGCCUCUGGUUUAGCCAGUGGAGUGCCAUAAUUGAGCGUCACUGCCCUAACAGACGCAUACUGUCAGGCUCGUCAGCAACCUUCCAGAACACGAUGGGCUGGGCGUUAUGAUUACCGUUUAGGCCAGACAAGGACAAGGACGGCCUCGUUAGUAGUAGAAGACACCAACCAAGUAAUUAUACUACGUAGUAGACAGCCAUGUCUUGUGAAACUCUUAAGUAUCCACAUGCGAAAGUAAAAUGUUGUGAAAUUUUGCACAUACAUAAUAUACAUGUGACUGUGUUUACAAAAAAUUCCAAUUUUUUGGUGUUUCACCAGCGCUGGUUAAACGUGUCCCCGCACGUAAACCAACUGGGCCGGCCUAUAAUGCAUUGAAACAUUCCUGAUUUUUGUGCAGCUUUGUGGCCAAUUCUAAGAAGCUUCUAGAAGCACCGAACAAUUUUUGGGAAGCUUCUGACCGAUUUUUUUUCUUUUCUUGGUUUUUUAUUUUUAUUUUUUAUUUUCCUUUUUUCUUCAUUUUUCAUUUAAUGUAUUUUAAACUCACAUUUUCAAAAACAAUUCAAGAACUUUUUGAAAUCCAUGAGCAUUUUUCAAAUUGGUGAUUUUUUUAUAAAUCCGUGAACAUAUUUAAAAUAUUUUUCAGAUUCAUGAACUUUUCGAAAUCUGAAUUAUUUUUACAAUCAUUGUUUUUUUUAAUUUGUGAUUUUUUUAAUUCAUGACUUUUUUUCGAGCCACAAUAGUUUUUCAAAUAUGAAAAAAAACUAUCUUUAGUCCAAAAGUCAACGGUCAACCGUCCGACCAGGUCAACCAUGAAGAGUGACUAGGCGUGUGCGCUUGAUGAGCGAGCUGCUCGCUCGCAUAGCUAGCCCAGCCCACACAAGGGGGCGCGUGAGCGCUGCCUCGCUACCAAGCGCAACGAGUGCUAACUAGGAGCUUUGACGGCAAAUACCAUAGCUGGCUUCUCUCUUAGUGACGAAUUUGCACAAAAUGACCCCUUUUGAAGAAAUCUAAGCCCAAGAGGCCCCUAAUUCACCUAUGGACCCCCUCCAGGGGAGGAUUGCGGUUCAUAUAUUAACUUUGUCAGUAUUGUCACGAUUUCAUCUGCUACUUAUGUCUGCCGAUAAAAAUUGGUCCAUAUAUUGCCACAUAUAAAGUAAACUAGAUAGUAGCUCGUGCAUUGUAAUGGGGCACAAUAUUUUCUACCCAACCGUUGUGAUUUAUUGAACAUUUUAUUGUUUUAUUAUAGUUACAUACUAAAUGUCGCAAUUGAAUCAAUACUUAUUGAUUUACCAAAGAAAACAUGAUUCUAUUAGUUGCUGCAUUUUUCUAAAUCGUUUGGCUUAGAUUAGGGGGGUAGCUGCAAAUCAAACAUGUGGCAACUCUAACGAGCUUGCAAAACUGGUUGUGUGACAAAGUAUUGCAAUCUUAUUAUACCAAUUAAAUAUGUCUACAUGCAUCUAGCUGUCACCAAACCAAACACUAGCUUUUUGCCUAUGUGUUUCGUCCCUCGAAUUUUACUAUGCCACGCACGACUCAAUAUUUUUCUUUGACUUUUUUGCUGUGAUACAUAAUAAUGAUCACAAAAAUUAGCUUCAACUAUAAUGAAUUUUCACUAAAUAAGAUUGAAAGAGUGAAAAAUCACUCCCUCCUAUAUGUCUAAUCCUCACAUAUGCAACAAAUAUAGAUCGGCCUAAGUAUCAGAGCCAGGCAUUCCAAACUAAAAACAUUGAAGGAGCGUAAACAUCAAGAACCACCAUCACCCAAAAACAAAUGAAGCAAGGACUAAAACUAUAAAUUCAAGAACUUGUAGGGGCCACACGGACUGUUCGGAAAAAAAAAAUACCUUGAGAGCUGUGAUAUUUUUAAAACGAGAUCAACCAGCACUAGCCCUUAGCGGCAUAUUUUUAUGGAAGAAAAUCUGUAAGCAUCCGGCAGAGUAUACUGCUUUAGCAUAUGACAAAUCUAUUUUUUUACGGGAGCAUAUGUACAGAUCUACAAAACACACAAUAGGUGGUAGUUAAAAUUAAAAUGUAUGGCCAUAAAUGGUAAGGGUAGCACACAUCUCAAAGCUUUCCCCGACGCUGGAUUCUUUGCUGUUACCUACCGGGUGGGCACCCCAGAAAAAUCGUGUUCGUGUCCACCGGCCGUAUCGAUGCGUUUCUGAUAAACCGCUCGCCGCUCCCUACCCUUGCUAAGCUCACGGCAAUCCAGUCGUCGUCGUCGUCGUCACAGACCACGUGAGUUUUCUUGUAGCAAUCCAUGGCGUCGCCGGAUCGACCUUUGGCUCGUUGCACGUACUCCCACCGAUCUACUUGCGGCACAUAUUUGUCGCCUUUUUCAUUUGGAUGCAGCUGCAUCGCGUUCGGUUUGACCCCAUGGCUUCGGCAGCUUGUGCGUGCCGCUACAUAAGCUGGUGUGCUCUCCCAGCAGCUCCAUCACUCCACCGCCACCCUCGUACAAUGGAGGCUUCACGCAAGCUCCUCUCGGCGGCGAUCCUCCUGGUGCUGCUGCUGGCGGGCACCGGGGAGAUGGGAGGCCCGGUGGCGGUGGCGGAGGCGCGGACGUGCGAGGCGAAGAGCCACAGGUUCAGGGGCCCCUGCGUGCGCCACCGCAACUGCGCCAACGUCUGCAAGACCGAGGGCUUCCCCGGCGGCAAGUGCCGCGGCUUCCGCCAUCGCUGCUUCUGCACCACCCACUGCCGCCAGUAACCAACCCACUACCUCUACUUCGUACGUCCGCCUAGCUGCAGCCUGCCUGCGUGCAUGCUGGCUUGCUCGCACCUUCUGCGUGUAUUGUAGUACUGUGUGUGUCCAUGAAUAAACCUCGGCCUGUCUGUCAUGGCAUGCUGAGAUGGGUAUAAGAAACGCAGGUUCCCUUUUACUCUGUGUUAAUAAUCAUUCCUUGAGUCGUCGAUUUCCCCGUUGGAUAUGUGGGUUCAAAUUUUCAUUUUUGAACUGCCCACCUGAAUUUUCAUUUCAAGCCCAAGAAUGGCAAACCGACAGAUUACAGGGCUUCUACCAGUUGAGAGAAACAGGGGUCGAUGUUGCGCACUACUUCAGACAGCGCAAGGCCGCAAGGCAUAGGUCACGCAAAAUCCUGGCAUGCGGGGAAGCCGACAGAGGAGCUUUGCUACACUUACGUAAUUGUUUUACGUAAACUCUUUAGGAAAUCAACUUGGCAACUGGUGAUUGGUUAGUAGGAAAUCAUGGGGCAGGGCCUGCAGUUAAAAUCAGGGGGACGGAAGAGAAUUAGGGCUUCUUUGAUUCAUAGGACUGCAAAAUCAGGGGAAGGUUUAUGUAACAGGCUAUGAGCAAUGCUACACCUACGUACAGUUAUUUUAGACAAACCUAACUAAUUAAGGAGUACUAGUAGAAUGCCCGUGCGUUGCCACGGGCAUUUUAAAAAAUUGACCGGUUUGUCAUGAUAAUGUUCCACUGGAAAAAACAUAUGAGGUUUAUGGAUAUAUGAUAUUCCCCCGCACACGUGGUGAUUAUGCCAAUAUUAUGACUCUGGCAAACCUCAAAAAAAAAA
rnacentral:lncRNA from 1 species